CCUACGGGAGUCUGCAGUGAGGAAUAUUGGUCAAUGGACGAGAGUCUGAACCAGCCAAGUAGCGUGAAGGAUGACUGCCCUAUGGGUUGUAAACUUCUUUUAUAUGGGAAUAAAAUGUUCCACGUUUGGGAUUUUGUAUGUACCAUAUGAAUAAGGAUCGGCUAACUCCGUGCCAGCAGCCGCGGUAAUACGGAGGAUCCGAGCGUUAUCCGGAUUUAUUGGGUUUAAAGGGAGCGUAGGUGGAUUGUUAAGUCAGUUGUGAAAGUUUGCGGCUCAACCGUAAAAUUGCAGUUGAAACUGGCAGUCUUGAGUACAGUAGAGGUGGGCGGAAUUCGUGGUGUAGCGGUGAAAUGCUUAGAUAUCACGAAGAACUCCGAUUGCGAAGGCAGUUCACUGGACUGCAACUGACACUGAGGCUCGAAAGUGUGGGUAUCAAACAGGAUUAGAUACCCUUGUAGUC
rnacentral:rRNA from 1 species